CAGCCACCACCACAUACAAUGCAAGUCGGAAAAUGGGCAGGACUGGGGGUGGGGCAGGCAGAGGCCACCUCUGUCAGGCUGGGGUGGCAUUGGCUAGACUAUCUUCCCAUACCUGGGACAUGACCUCCAAGGACCUGCUGUCAGUCAUGGUGAUGGCUUGGAUUGGCAGGGAGCUUGCUCUCUUUCUCGGAGGGCUGGAGCAGCGUGGGGCCAAAGACAGUGGCAAGGUUGUGCAGGGACACCUCAUUGACUGCCUCCUUCUCUGCCACCCUGUAGAGGACUGAAGCAGAGGGUGCUGUUUCAACGCCACCACCAGGAGAGAGGCAGAGGGGCUGUGCUGUGCUAGAGUCCUCAGGGAGGGAGUGACCUCGACCCUGGUUGUGCUGCAAGCUGACUCCAGCCUUGGGAUCAGCAGCAGCAGGGUACCCGACCAUGGCAGAGGGGGCAUAGCUCGGUUUCCCACACCUCACUUUUCACAGCCUCCAAGGGCAGCAGUGCACGUGGAGGAGACGUCUCCCACGAGGCCAAGGCCUCUAGUGCUCACUGAUGCCCUCUGCGAAUUUGGGGUAGAACUCGUCAGUGAAGAGGGGCCCGGGCAGCUCACGGAAGUAUAGCUUCAGCGUGCCUGCAAUGGCGUUCACGUCCAUCUCACUCAUCAUCACCGACACGUCCUUGUUAUCUGGAAAGAGCACAGAAAUGCAGCAGCCUCCUUGAGGAUCCUGAUAAAUGAAGAAAAGACACAGAGAAGGAUGUGACAUGCCUGGGCCAUGGAGCACUCUAGGGUCUCAUCGUGGACACCACUGCCCACACCUCCAUCCCGUCCUGCGCAGGCCGACACUCACUGACGUUGAAGGCUGCCUUCAGUGCCUGGAUGUCUGCGGCCACUCCGGACACGCGGUAGAUGCCCACCUCCUCCAUGCCUCGGCGCUCGAUCUCCUCCACACACUGGCGCGCGAUGUAGGGCACCUUGGACCUCUCUCUCCUGCGGGAGGAGGGAAUGUUCUCAGUGUCCCAACAGCCCUGCUUGGGCCAUAACACAGGAGACCUGCUCCCUAUCUGCACACCCGGAGGCGGGGUGAGGACGGUGACGAAGGUACCCAGGUCUGGGGCUGCACACAGAGCCUUCUGCAUGCCUGUGCUCCCUCUGCAAGCUCUGUCCUCAUUGCAUGUACUUUCUCAGGAACCUUUCAAGCGGCCAGAACCCCUGUGAAUCACACAUGAUCUUUGCGGGAAGGUCAGGAGGCCUGUCUAAGUCAAGUCAGCACAGGAAGGGCAUCUGACAGAUUCCAGGCCUGAGGUUAGCAGCCUGUGCCCCCAGCUGGGAGAUCAGACCCGGUAUUGGUCCUGCCACCUACAUGCUGUGUGAGAGGAGAAUCCCUGACCCCUGCCCUAGGCCUAGGCCUUAACAAACAUCUGACGAAUGAAUGAAGGGCUGCCUCAGCACCAGUGCUCCAAGUCCUGUGAUGCUAAGUGCUUUUCUCCUCUGAGUCUUAGCAAUGGACAAUUCCAGUACCACCACACAGGACACUAGAGUAAGAAUACUUCAAAGUUAGUGCUGUGCUGAGGCCUUAACUUUAGUUCUGUUUUGCAACUGGAUUUAGGAGCACAUCAAAGCCACUUCUCAAGCCACCCUCAUUAGCAGGGCUUAUUUUGAGGAGUUGCUGAUGGAGUCCUCGCUGCUCAUGCCCAGAGCCCUCCCAGAGUACUAUGCAAGUGGCUGCCAUGCAGUUCGGGGUGGGGCGUGGUGUUUAGACACAGAUAGGAGUCCAGGGUAUGACUGAUGGAGGCCCCGGCCCACGUGACCAGCAAGGUCAGGGGCCCAGCCGGAUUCCAUCCUGGGGAAGCAAAUGAAUUCUCAGAGGAAGUGGUCUCUGUCUGCAUGAACUGCUCUCAAACCAACAAACAGGCUUCUCUUGCCAACUGACCCAUGACAAAGGGUUCAAGAUUGUUUGAAAUAAAAAAAAAAGGGAGCAGGGAGGCAGUAGGUCCUGCAAAAGUAAAUUGUUUAUUUUACAAUAAGAAAGUGAUUACAUAUUUCAUUUUUUUUACAAUGGUCAAAAAUUAGAAGUGAUUGUGAAGAUGAUGUCUACCCGCCUUGCUGAUGAGUAGGAUGUGAUUUGGCUCUUUAGGAAACUGAAUUUGCAGAACUUAAGAAUAUUGAUUUAUAAAGGGCAUGGCCAUUGACCCAGUCCAUCUUAUGCAAAUCUGGAUUCCAUAAAUAAUAUUUAAAAAUGAAAGUAUUGGGGUGGAGGUUGCAGUGAGCGGAGAUCACGCCACUACACUGCAGCCUGGUCGACAGAGUGAGACUCUGUCUCAAAACGAAAAAAGCAAAAGAAGAAGCCAUUCCCAAUGUUGCUCAUCAAAUUAUGACCAUAAAUUUCCAGGAUCAGACUAAUGGCUAAAGAGACUGAUCCAUCAACAUCAAGCAGAGAAUAAAGCAGAUUUCUUUUUUUUUUCUGUUUUGGAGAGCCUCUAAGAACUUGAAAAAUACAUAUACCACACUCUUAAGACCUGGUGGUUCUUAAUCAGGGAUAUUCAUUAAAAUGCUGGAAAACUGUAAAGACUUCUAGGUCCCAUCCAAGGAGAUUUUGCUUCUGAUUGACUGGCUAGUGGCCUGGCCAUUGGUAUUUUGAAAAAUCUCUCCAAGUGAUUCUUUUACAUCCCAGAUAGAAAACCCUAAAUUAAAGGUGAAAAAACCAGACACCAAGUAGCAUUUAAAUAAAUGUCAACUUUAACUCCACAAAGCAUCUGGUUGCAUGUGGACAGAAAGAGAAGGAAAGAGGGCCCUAUAUCUGGAUAACUUAGAAAUGUGCUCCCCCUAGCAAGAUAUCUACCAAAAUUAAAACCAUAUUUGAGGAUGCUGGCGCUGCAAGCAAUAUAUAAAUGAUGCAUGUAACGUCAUUUAAUAUGAUCUUACUUUUAAAAAUGAGUAGAAUGGUGUUUUCUAGCUUUUAGUUUUUCCACAUAUCAAUAUAGAAAUUAGUCUUCUGCAGCUGCAGAGGCAAUUCAGUUUCCAGCUUGCUUGCGUGUGGCCUAGAGCCAUAACAUGACCCAGGGCAUCUCUGAUCCACCCCUCCCACAACCACCAGAGCCAGAGACAACCAAAUGCCUUGGACCAUCUGGUGAGAGAGGUAGCUGCAUGGCAGUAAGAGUCCUGCUCUGAAAUGACAAGAGCCUUAAGGCCUAGUGUUGACUUACUGCUAACUUGCUGACACUGCACACUUGCUGAGUGAUCUUGGGUGAACCCUUUCACCUCUCUGAGGUUCACUGUGAAAUGAGAGGUCAAUGGUCAAACUUAAACACCUUCAGAGGUUGGGUAAUAUCAGUGAGUAAAAUGGACCAGGCACAGCACAAAGCGGAAUGGUGCAGACUGUGGCAAGUUGAGAACUUAUGCCUCUGUAAUGGGGGCAGCCACCACUCAGUUACUGCAGAUUACUCCCUCUUUGCUGAGGACAGUUGCACAGGUAGUGUACUGCAGAAGGGUAACACCUUAGAGGGAUGUCAUUUGCAUCACAGAUGCAAAAUUCACGAGUGAAGACUGAUGUAGUUUGUCCCUAAAAUUUUGCUUUGAUUUGCAGCUAUUUAUCCAUGGCAGUUUCCUGAAAGAUGUCUAUAGAAGGUUUUGAGGAAUGGGCACCUUUUAAUUUGCUACUAAACUAAACCCCAAGGGCCCAUUAUAUGCCAGCGUGGUCCUAGAGAUUCCACACUCAUUCAGUUCCUUUUCAUCAUAGGAAAUGGGCAUUAUAAUAUCAGGUCCACUGUAAGAGGUGGAGGCUGGGCGUGGUGGCUCAUGCCUGUAAUCCCAGCACUUUGGGAGGCCUACCUGUGCAGAUCGCGGGAGCCCAAGAGUUUGAGACCAGCCUGGGCAACACGGUGAAACUCUGCCUUUACAACAUAUACAAAAAGUUAGCCGGGCUUGGUAGCAUGUCCCUGUAGUCCCAGCUAUUCGGGAGGCUGAGGUGGGAGGAUUGCUUGAGCCUGGGAGGUGAAGGCUGCAGUGAGCCCAGAUUGCACAACUAUACUCCAGCUUAGGCCACAGAGCAAGACCUUCUCUCAAAAAAUAAAGUAAAAUAAAAUUAUAAAAAGAAAGAAA